rnacentral:rRNA from 1 species
UACGUAGGCAGCGAGCGUUGUUCAGAGUUACUGGGCGUAAAGGGUGUGUAGGCGGUUCUUUAAGUUUGGUGUGAAAUCUCCCGGCUCAACUGGGAGGGUGCGCCGAAUACUGAGGGACUUCGAGUGCGGGAGAGGAAAGUGGAAUUCCUGGUGUAGCGGUGAAAUGCGUAGAUAUCAGGAGGAACACCGGUGGUGUAGACGGCUUUCUGGACCGUAGCUGACGCUGAGACACGAAAGCGUGGGUAGCAAACAGG